UUUUAGCUCUGAGUACAGCACAUGAUGAGUCCCUUGAGCCCUUUUAAUGAGUCCUCAGCUUUGUGAGCAGUCUCAGGACACUGGAAAUGCUGCCUAACCACCUGACGGCGUCUGGCGGAAAAACAAUCUGUGUGUUAGCUGACACAAGACCGGUGGAGGACUUUCCAGGAGUGGAGAGUGGGGAAGUUGCCGGGCCCAUACUCAGCCCCCUGUCACGAGUCUCUUAGCUGCCUUUGUGACGUGAAAACACAGUGUCAUGAGAUGUACUGCUAUGGCAUUUCUGAAGCACCAGGACCACAGAAGCCUCAUGAAUGUGGAAAACCAGUGUAUGAAACAAACAAGCAAAUGAACAAAUUAUCUGUGGAAUUUUUCCUAAAAAAUCAACCAGCAUGCAGACGGCAGGCAUAAGCCCCGAUCGUGAAAGCGAUGAGGAUGAAGAGCCCUACGAGGAGACAUUUGUCUAAAGGUGAUAGGAGGGAAACGUGAAAAUAUGUCUAAAGUUACCAAGACAUGAAGGCUCACUCCAUUUGGGGGCAAAAAAUAGAGGUCCCCAACCAACCAGAUAAUAAUCUGUCAUUACUCAAGAAAACGCACAUUACGUAUAUGAAGCUGUUUUUCCUUUCA